GGGAUCAAGGUGUUAGCGGCAGCACACUCGGUUCUUACCCGAGCAAGUGACGGUUCAAGUCCGUCUGGUCCCA
rnacentral:tRNA from 1 species